rnacentral:rRNA from 1 species
UACGUAGGGUGCAAGCGUUGUCCGGAAUUAUUGGGCGUAAAGAGCUCGUAGGCGGUUUGUCGCGUCGAAUGUGAAAACCCGAGGCUCAACCUCGGGCCUGCAGUGGGUACGGGCAGACUAGAGUGCGGUAGGGGAGAAUGGAAUUCCUGGUGUAGCGGUGGAAUGCGCAGAUAUCAGGAGGAACACCGAUGGCGAAGGCAGUUCUCUGGGCCGUAACUGACGCUGAGGAGCGAAAGCGUGGGGAGCGAACAGG